CACGUAGGGGGCGAGCGUUGUCCGGAAUCAUUGGGCGUAAAGGGCGCGCAGGUGGCUCUGUAUGUCUGCCGUGAAAGCAUACAGCUCAACUGUAUUGUGUCGGUAGAAACUGCAGGACUUGAGGCUGGGAGGGGCUGGUGGAAUUCCCUGUGUAGCGGUGAAAUGCGUAGAGAUGGGGGAGAACACUCGUGGCGAAGGCGGCCAGCUAGACCAGUUCUGACACUGAGGCGCGACAGCGUGGGGAGCAAACAGG
rnacentral:rRNA from 1 species